AUGAAGAUGUUGAAGCAUGCAGAGGCUUCGCGCAGACUGCUCCUCAGAAUCCCAGUCAGACCCUGCGGAGGUGCCGGAGUCUUCAACAUUCACGUGAGUCACCUCUCCUGCUGCCUGCUCCUCUCUCUCAUCACAAACCAGUGUUCUAGUUUCCCUUUGCUGUCCCACUUUGGCAUAACAAUUGGCUGUCUUUGUGUGAAUGUCUUUUAUAGCUCUUUGUCUUGAACCUUAGUGAAUUCCUGCCCUGGCACCUAGUUCCCAGAUUUCCCCUAUGACUUUUCUAUCUGUUCCCAGGAAUUGUAGCUUUGCCAGCAGUGCAGUGAAUCAAAUCAACUCCCAAACCGUGAAGUAAAGGGUACGGUUUCAGACAUCCAUAUACUGGUUUCAGUGUCUUCUUUCUGGCACAAGAACUCAAAUGCUCCCUGAGAGAAAAACAUCCAACACAGAAUUAUAAUUAUUGUCACAAGCCGGGUAUCAGUAAGUAUAUAUACAUAAAAACCGGCUACUCUUUAGAUCCUUAUUUUGUUUCUUCAGUGAGAGCUAUUCUUGGAAAGUUUACUUAAGGCUCACAUGCAUACAAGUGACUGUUAAAAUCCGACAUGGCAGUUGAAGAGAACAGUAAGUGAACUCAUCUGUUCUGACAACCUCAUCACAUUCACCUCGAUAAGAUCAGAAAUGUGGGAUGUACAAAAGGUGGGAUAUAUGACACCAGAAAAUAUUAAGGAGAAGACAUGAUGGAAAAAUCUUAGUAGUUGGGAGGGUUGAGGUCAAGGGAGGUGAUGGAAAGGCUAGAUAUGAGGAGGAAGGGAGAGAGAGAGAGGUAGAGAGAGAGAGAGAGAGAGAGAGUGAGAGCGCACACACAUAUCCUGCUGAAAGGGAAGGAGAAAAACAUCGACAGGAGCUGAAGUCUUUAAAUGUUUCAUUAAAG
rnacentral:lncRNA from 1 species